CUGGGAGUGAGAGAGAGUAGGGGUAAAAAGUAAGUCAGGUUAAAAAAACAAUAUAUUAUAGCAGAUGAAAACAGAGCACAGAAGAGGAAAUAUAAUCUCACCAGUGUUGUCUACUGCAGGAGAAAUGGUUGCCAGAAGUUAUUGCUGUGGAUUCACAUUAACACAAAUGCUUAUUUGAUAAUGUGACGCCAGUGCCAAUUCUGCUGCACUUCACCCUCAAAUCUCCAUGGUGCAGUAGAAACCACAACUACCAUACUGAGUGCGGCUGCAAGGCAGGACAGAGAAAAGCAAAACUGGAGGAGCCAAUCGGGAGCGGCUUCGAACUCCUCAUCCUCUGCGAGUAGAUUCUCCUGACUGACUGCAGCCAGAUCCCUCUCCACCUGCCAGCCAAGUGGCGAUCCUGGGUUGACUGCUCACUCGUCACCUUCCCAUGGCACUACUGCACCUUCAGAUUCUCUCCACUCUGUACUGCUGCCUUCACUUGUGAACUUUAAUAAAGGAGCUGUAAAUUUUCCCUCUGCCUCCUGCCUUGUUCUAUGGAUACCAUACCAUACCAUACCAUACCAUGGAGGCUACAUAGCAUUGUGUAAUAAGUACAAAUAACUCUCUGUAUGUGACAACAAUCUAUAUACUUCAAAUAUCAGGCCAACAUGGUGGGGAAGCUCAUUCUCACAGAAAAACCUCAACUAAGUCACCCCAAAUCAUGACAAAAUGUGUUGUUGUCUCAAGAGUACAUUUAAAAUGGAACCCCCACUAUACUCACUGUGCAGCACAAUGGUGCCAUCAUCAUUAGGACUGUUUUUCUUCAGUUGGACUUGUGGCUUUUAUCAAG